AACCGCCACAGAUAAAGCAGUGAACAUGACGAGGGCAGUCGGCCCCCCGGACACAAAGGCAAUCCUAAACGUGCUCCCUCUUCCUUCUCACAUGAUUCCCUUUUAGUCUUCCGGUCGGUGCCGGGUCUUGUCUGCUGCAGAAUCAGCAGCGCAUCCAGUCACUGUCUUGCGCUAGCUGCAGGUCCCGCCGCCGUUUCUCUCCUUCCAAGCACCCACAAGAUUGUUGGUUUCAGAGGCAUCCUUCUUUGCUGCAAUGGCCAAUGAGCCUCAGUUUUCUGGUGUACAGCCUCUUCGGCCUCCAGUAGUUGGAUCCCUGGAGCCUCCUCGAAGUUUCUUUGCUCCCCUUUCUGCUCAAUUUCAACCUGCGAGUCUGACACAGCCAUCGCAGCCACUUAUUCCAGUGGCUUCCCAGCAAUUUAAUACUGUUGACCAAGGCGUUCCUGCAACAAAUAGAGGAUUGCCUUCACAAACUCCACAAUUUCAGUUUUCUCAGCCAAUGCAGCAGUUGCCUGCCAGACCUGGUCAGCUAGGUCAUGUGCCACCACCAUCACAGACAAUUUUAAUGUCUAAUGUUCAGUCAAGCAGGCCUAUUACAUCUGGAUUACCACAGCCCCAGCAAAAUGUUCAGACUUUAAGCAGCUAUAGUCAUGGUUUUGGUGGCUUGGGAUUGCAUAUUUCUUCAUCAUAUACUUUUGCACCAUCUUCUUAUGGUCUACCACAGUUAAAUUCUAAUGUUGCUACCCAGCAUCCGCCAGUACUUCUAAGCCAGGUGCCCAGUAUUCCAACUAGGGAACAGUCUAAGUUGUCAUCUGAAAAGCAGGCUUCUGUUGCUCCUGUGCAGCAUAGUGAUGAACACUUUUUAGUUGCCACUUCCACUAUUCCAGCACCAAGUGUUCAGCCUAAUGUUGUUGCACAAGCACCAUCAGAUUGGUUAGAGCAUGCAUCUGAUGGGAGAAGAUAUUAUUACAACAAGAAAACUAGACAGUCAACUUGGGAGAAGCCUCUCGAAUUGAUGACACCAAUUGAGAGGGCAGAUGCAUCAACUGACUGGAAGGAAUAUAGAAGUCCUGAUGGAAGAAAGUAUUACUUCAACAAAGUUACCAAGCAAUCGAAAUGGACAAUUCCUGAUGAACUGAAGUUGGCUCGUGAACAAGCAGAGGAGGCAUCCAUUAAGGGAAAGCUGUCAGAAACUUCUAUAGAUUCUUCUGUUUCUCUCUCUGUAGUUAAUGUGCCAUCCACUGCAGCUGAUUCAUCCUUGACAUCUCAUAGUCACAGGGCAGCAUCAAGCCCAGUUCCAGUGGCACCUGUUGCUGCUGUUGACAAUCUGCAACCAGCAGUGGCUCCUGCAUCAUCAGCCUUGUCUGCUGUAGCUUCUACUGCAGUAAAAGAAAAAGUUGAAAUACACUCACCUGGGAAGGCUGUUACUCCUGUUGCUGCUGCUUUAGGGAGUCCUGUUCGUGUCACUUUGGUUGAUGCUGUUACACCAACUAUGAGUAACUCAAACAACAUUGCUGCUCAGAAUAUUCUAAAUUCUGUGGACGGGCUUUCUACACAGAACGUGGAGAAAGCAAAGACAGGCAUUGGGAUUGCUGCAAAGUCUGACGGUACAUCAUCAGAGGGGAAAAUGGUUGAUCAAGAACCCUUAAGUUAUGGCAGUAAACAGGAGGCGAAAAAUGCAUUUAUAGCACUACUGGAGUCGGUGAAUGUUGAGUCUAACUGGACUUGGGAUCAGGCCAUGAGGGUAAUAAUUAAUGACAAAAGGUAUGGUGCUUUGAGAACUCUUGGAGAGCGGAAACAAGCUUUUAAUGAGUUCUUAGGUCAAAGGAAAAGGCAGGAAGUUGAGGAAUGGCAUGCUAAGCAGAAAAGAGCAAGGGAAGAAUUCAGGAAAAUGUUAGAAGAGUCUGAACAGCUGACAUCUUCCACCAAAUGGAGCAAAGCAAUAACUUUGUUUGAAAAUGAUGAACGUUUCCAAGCUCUUGAACGGGCUAGAGACCGUGAGGAUCUUUUCAAGAACUUCUUGGCCGAAAUUGAAAAAAAGGAACGAGCAAAGGCAUUAGAGGAGCAUAAGCGCAAUAUAAUUGAAUACAGAGAAUUUUUGGAAUCUUGCGACUUUAUUAAGUCAAGCAGUCAAUGGCGAAAAGUAAAAGACCGCUUAGAGGCUGAUGAACGAUGUUCACGUCUUGAAAAUAUUGCCCGCUUGGAAGUUUUUCAGGAAUAUUUGCGGGAUUUAGAGGAACAGGAGGAGGAGCAAAGGAAGCUACAAAAGGAAGAGUUGAGAAAGGCCGAGCGAAGAAAUCGUGAUGAGUUCCGAAAGUUAAUGGAAGGACAUGUUGCUGCUGGAACUCUUACUGCCAAAACUCACUGGCGUGACUACUGUAUGAAGGUUAAGGAUUUACAUGAAUAUCUAGCAGUAUCUUCAAAUACUUCAGGGUCAACACCGAAGGAUUUGUUUGAAGAUGUUGCUGAGGAGCUUCAGAAGCAGUAUCAUGAGGACAAGACUCGAAUAAAGGAUGCGCUGAAGUUUGGGAAGAUAACUUUGUCAUUAACAUGGACACUCGAAGACUUCAAAGAUGCUAUUUCAGAGUCUGUUAACUCUCCACCAAUAUCAGAUAUUAACCUAAAGCUUGCAUUUAAUGAGUUACUGGAAAGAGUCAGGGAAAAGGAGGAGAAAGAAGCCAAGAAACGUAAACGUCUUGUCAAUGAGUUUGUUGAUCUGUUGCGUUCCACAAAGGAAAUAACUGCUUCUUCAAACUGGGAGGAAUGUAAACCACUAUUAAUGGAAAGUCAAAUGUGCAGGUCUGUUGAGGAAGAAAAUUUUUGCAAGGAGAUCUUUGAGGAAUACAUAGCUCAAUUAGAAGAAAAAAUGCAAAAGGAGGAAAAGGAAAAAAAGAAAAAAGAGAGAGAGGAGAGAGAGAAAAGGAAGGCAAAACACAAAAGGGAAAAGAACAAAGGGUAUGACAGAGAAAGAGGGACAGAGCGAUCCAGGGAGGAUGGAACAGACAGUGAAAAUAUUGAUGUAACUGAUAUUCACGCCUCAGAAAGGAACAUCAGUUUGAGGAAAGAGACCGACAAGAAACAUAGGAAAAGGCAUCAAAGUACUGUGGAUGAUGUGAGUUUGGACAAAAAUGAGAAAAAUCGAUCCAAGAACAUCCAUAAACUAGAGAGUAGCCACAAAAAAUCAAGACAGGGAGAGCAGCAUGAAUUCAGUCCUGAUUUUUAUAGUGAAAGCAAGCAUAAGAGACAUAAGAGAGACCACCUGAAUGGUUCUCGUAGACAUGGUGACUAUGAGGAUUUUGAGGAUGGGGAAUUUGGCUGAAAACUCGAUGAAGUCCCAUCUUGCUGCUUUAUAUCUGAGGAGGAACCCUGUGGAAAAAGAUCUAGUAGCUGCUCAUGGUUAGCAAGAGAAAGCUAGAGCAACGCUGCUUUCCGACUUUAUAAAUAUGAGAUCUGUGGUCAGCUAUAAACGCUUUAUAUCAAAUCACUGAGGAUUGGAAAAGUUAUGUAAGGUGCUCAGGAUUGCAAAAGUUAUCUCAUGGAGGUACACUUGUUUACUCUUUGGUUCCCGUGCAGUGCUUCCUUCCUGUGCUUUCCAAGUGUUUCUAUCCUUACUUCAGUAGGGACACUAAACAUUUAAGUUGGGGGGUAGGGAGUUAGGAAAGCACUACAUGACGCAUUGUGGGCACAAAAAUGACAUGAUUUUUAAAUUUUUAGUGAACAUUAUUUGUUGCAUGUCAUGUUAACACUUUUGAUGUCCUUUACAUACUUUUAUAUAGCCUUUAUGUUACAACCUUAGGUUGUUUCUAUUAGAUGACUUUAUUAUGCUCACUAACAAUGAAGUGAGUUUCUUGUGUAUAGUUUCAUGUUGUAUAGUCAAUUUACCUGUUUUAUAACUCGAUGAGGGUUGAC